AACGAACGCUGGCGGCAGGCUUAAUACAUGCAAGUCGAGCGGGCACUUCGGUGUCAGCGGCGCACGGGUGCGUAACGCGUGGGAACAUGCCUUUAGGUACGGAACAACCAAGGGAAACUUUGGCUAAUACCGUAUAAUAUCCCUGGAUCAAAGAUUUAUCGCCUAAAGAUUGGCCCGCGUUAGAUUAGGUAGUUGGUGGGGUAAUGGCCUACCACGCCGACGAUCUAUAGGGGGUCUGAGAGGAUGAUCCCCCACACUGGAACUGAGACACGGUCCAGACUCCUACGGGAGGCAGCAGUAAGGAAUAUUGGACAAUGGGCGAAAGCCUGAUCCAGCCAUGACGCGUGAGUGAUGAAGGCCUUAGGGUUGUAAAGCUCUUUUAGAUGGGAAGAUAAUGACUGUACCAUCAGAAUAAGCCCCGGCUAAAUUCGUG
rnacentral:rRNA from 1 species